GGUAGUUAAUUCGACGCAACGCGAAGAACCUUACCAGGGCUUGACAUCCCCUGACCGCGUAUGAAAGUACGUUUUCACCCUCGGGUGACAGGGAGACAGGUGGUGCAUGGUUGUCGUCAGCUCGUGUCGUGAGAUGUUGGGUUAAGUCCCGCAACGAGCGCAACCCCUACGUUUAGUUGCUAACAGGUGAAGCUGAGCACUCUAGACGAACUGCCGUUGACAAAACGGAGGAAGGUGGGGAUGACGUCAAAUCAUCAUGCCCCUUAUGUUCUGGGCUACACACGUGCUACAAUGGCCGGUACAGACGGAGGCGAAGCCGCGAGGCGGAGCAAAUCCGAAAAAGCCGGUCUCAGUUCGGAUUGCAGGCUGCAAUUCGCCUGCAUGAAGUCGGAAUCGCUAGUAAUCGCAGGUCAGCAUACUGCGGUGAAUACGUUCCCGGGCCUU
rnacentral:rRNA from 1 species